rnacentral:rRNA from 1 species
ACACAUGCAGUCGAGCGGAGAUGAGGUGCUUGCACCUUAUCUUAGCGGCGGACGGGUGAGUAAUGCUUAGGAAUCUGCCUAUUAGUGGGGGACAACAUUCCGAAAGGAAUGCUAAUACCGCAUACGUCCUACGGGAGAAAGCAGGGGAUCUUCGGACCUUGCGCUAAUAGAUGAGCCUAAGUCGGAUUAGCCAGUUGGUGGGGUAAAGGCCUACCAAGGCGACGAUCUGUAGCGGGUCUGAGAGGAUGAUCCGCCACACUGGGACUGAGACACGGCCCAGACUCCUACGGGAGGCAGCAGUGGGGAAUAUUGGACAAUGGGGGGAACCCUGAUCCAGCCAUGCCGCGUGUGUGAAGAAGGCCUUAUGGUUGUAAAGCACUUUAAGCGAGGAGGAGGCUACUGAGACUAAUACUCUUGGAUAGUGGACGUUACUCGCAGAAUAAGCACCGGCUAACUCUGUGCCAGCAGCCGCGGUAAUACAGAGGGUGCGAGCGUUAAUCGGAUUUACUGGGCGUAAAGCGUGCGUAGGCGGCUUUUUAAGUCGGAUGUGAAAUCCCCGAGCUUAACUUGGGAAUUGCAUUCGAUACUGGGAAGCUAGAGUAUGGGAGAGGAUGGUAGAAUUCCAGGUGUAGCGGUGAAAUGCGUAGAGAUCUGGAGGAAUACCGAUGGCGAAAGCAGCCAUCUGGCCUAAUACUGACGCUGAGGUAUGAAAGCAUGGGGAGCAAACAGGAUUAGAUACCCUGGUAGUCCAUGCCGUAAACGAUGUCUACUAGCCGUUGGGGCCUUUGAGGCUUUAGUGGCGCAGCUAACGCGAUAAGUAGACGCCUGGGGAGUACGGUCGCAGACUAAAACUCAAUGAAUUGACGGGGCCGCACA